CACCUACUCCCUCCGUUCGGAAUUACUUGUCGCAGAAAUGGAUGUAUCUAGACGUAUUUUAGUUCUAGAUACAUCCAUUUCCGAGACAAGUAAUUCCGAACGGAGGGAGUAUAUG
rnacentral:pre_miRNA from 1 species